rnacentral:rRNA from 1 species
AGGCUUAACACAUGCAAGUCGAGGGGCAGCAUGGUCUUAGCUUGCUAAGGCCGAUGGCGACCGGCGCACGGGUGAGUAACGCGUAUCCAACCUGCCUUACACUCUUGGACAGCCUUCUGAAAGGGAGAUUAAUACAAGAUGUUAUCAUGAGUAAGCAUUUUCACAUGAUUAAAGGUUUACCGGUGUAAGAUGGGGAUGCGUUCCAUUAGAUAGUAGGCGGGGUAACGGCCCACCUAGUCUUCGAUGGAUAGGGGUUCUGAGAGGAAGGUCCCCCACAUUGGAACUGAGACACGGUCCAAACUCCUACGGGAGGCAGCAGUGAGGAAUAUUGGUCAAUGGACGAGAGUCUGAACCAGCCAAGUAGCGUGAAGGAUGAAGGUUCUAUGGAUUGUAAACUUCUUUUAUACGGGAAUAAACGGAUCCACGUGUGGAUUUUUGCAUGUACCGUAUGAAUAAGGAUCGGCUAACUCCGUGCCAGCAGCCGCGGUAAUACGGAGGAUCCGAGCGUUAUCCGGAUUUAUUGGGUUUAAAGGGAGCGUAGAUGGGUUGUUAAGUCAGUUGUGAAAGUUUGCGGCUCAACCGUAAAAUUGCAAUUGAUACUGGCAGUCUUGAGUACAGUUGAGGUAGGCGGAAUUCGUGGUGUGGCGGUGAAAUGCUUAGAUAUCACGAAGAACUCCGAUUGCGAAGGCAGCUUACUAACCUGUAACUGACAUUGAUGCUCGAAAGUGUGGGUAUCAAACAGGAUUAGAUACCCUGGUAGUCCACACGGUAAACGAUGAAUACUCGCUGUAGGCGAUAUACAGUCUGCGGCCAAGCGAAAGCAUUAAGUAUUCCACCUGGGGAGUACGCCGGCAACGGUGAAACUCAAAGGAAUUGACGGGGGCCCGCACAAGCGGAGGAACAUGUGGUUUAAUUCGAUGAUACGCGAGGAACCUUACCCGGGCUUAAAUUGCAACCGAAUAUGGCGGAAACGCUAUAGCUAGCAAUAGCGGUUGUGAAGGUGCUGCAUGGUUGUCGUCAGCUCGUGCCGUGAGGUGUCGGCUUAAGUGCCAUAACGAGCGCAACCCUUGCCGAUAGUUACUAACAGGUCAUGCUGAGGACUCUGUCGGGACUGCCAUCGUAAGAUGUGAGGAAGGUGGGGAUGACGUCAAAUCAGCACGGCCCUUACGUCCGGGGCUACACACGUGUUACAAUGGGGGGUACAGAGGGCUGCUACCACGCAAGUGGAUGCCAAUCCCAAAAACCUCUCUCAGUUCGGAUUGAAGUCUGCAACCCGACUUCAUGAAGCUGGAUUCGCUAGUAAUCGCGCAUCAGCCACGGCGCGGUGAAUACGUUCCCGGGCCUUGUACACACCGCCCGUCAAGCCAUGGGAGCCGGGGGUACCUGAAGUGCGUAACAGCAAGGAGCGCCCUAGGGUAAAACUGGUGACUGGGGCUAAGA